GUGCCCAGUUUGGCAGCACAUAUACUAACAUUAGAACAAUACAGAGAUUAGCACGACCCCUGCGCAAGAAUGACACGCAAAUUCGUGAAGGGUUCCAUAUAUUU